rnacentral:rRNA from 1 species
UACGUAGGUGGCAAGCGUUGUCCGGAUUUACUGGGCGUAAAGGAUGCGUAGGCGGAUAUAUAAGUCAGAUGUGAAAUACCCGAGCUCAACUUGGGUGCUGCAUUUGAAACUGUAUAUCUAGAGUGCGGGAGAGGUAAGUGGAAUUCCUAGUGUAGCGGUGAAAUGCGUAGAGAUUAGGAAGAACACCCGUGGCGAAAGCGGCUCUCUGGAACGGUACUGACGCUGAGACGCGAAAGCGUGGGGAGCGAACAGG